rnacentral:rRNA from 1 species
CGGUGGCGAGUGGCGAACGGGUGAGUAAUGCAUCGGAACGUGCCCAUCGAUGGGGGAUAACUGCGCGAAAGCGUUGCUAAUACCGCAUACGACCUACGGGUGAAAGCAGGGGACCGCAAGGCCUUGCGUCGAUGGAGCGGCCGAUGCCGGAUUAGCUAGUUGGUGAGGUAAAGGCUCACCAAGGCGACGAUCCGUAGCUGGUCUGAGAGGACGACCCAGCCACACUGGGACUGAGACACGGCCCAGACUCCUACGGGAGGCAGCAGUGGGGAAUCUUGGACAAUGGGCGAAAGCCUGAUCCAGCAAUGCCGCGUGUGGGAAGAAGGCCUUCGGGUUGUAAACCACUUUUGGCGGGAAAGAAAUGGUCUGUGCUAAUACCACGGAUUGAUGACGGUACCCGCAGAAUAAGCACCGGCUAACUACGUG